UACGUAGGCAGCGAGCGUUGUUCGGAGUUACUGGGCGUAAAGGGUGUGUAGGCGGUUCUUUAAGUUUGGUGUGAAAUCUCCCGGCUCAACCGGGAGGGUGCGCCGAAUACUGAGGGACUAGAGUACGGGAGAGGAAAGUGGAAUUCCUGGUGUAGCGGUGAAAUGCGCAGAUAUCAGGAGGAACACCUGUGGCGAAGGCGGCUUUCUGGGCCUUACCUGACGCUGAGACGCGAAAGCGUGGGGAGCGAACCGG
rnacentral:rRNA from 1 species